UUGCCAAUGAUGGUUAUGAAUUUCUUCACCUGAAUAACUCAUGUAGUCAUAAUCUAUCUGAGGCAAA
ensembl:snoRNA SNORD36 Small nucleolar RNA SNORD36